rnacentral:rRNA from 1 species
GGGAAGAGCUCAAAUUUGAAAUCUGGUGGCCUCAGGUCAUCCGAGUUGUAAUCUAUAGAAGUGUUUUCCGUGCUGGCCCAUGUACAAGUCCCUUGGAACAGGGCGUCAUAGAGGGUGAGAAUCCCGUCCUUGACAUGGACUACCAGUGCUCUGUGAUACACUUUCAACGAGUCGAGUUGUUUGGGAAUGCAGCUCAAAAUGGGUGGUAAAUUCCAUCUAAAGCUAAAUAUUGGCGAGAGACCGAUAGCGAACAAGUACCGUGAGGGAAAGAUGAAAAGCACUUUGGAAAGAGAGUUAAACAGUAUGUGAAAUUGUUGAAAGGGAAACGAUUGAAGUCAGUCGUGCUCAAUGGACUCAGCCGUUCUGCGGUGUAUUUCCAUUGGGUGGGGUCAACAUCAGUUUUGAUCGCUGGAUAAAGGCAGGAGGAAUGUAGCACCCCCGGGUGAACUUAUAGCCUCUUGUCACAUACAGUGGUUGGGACUGAGGAACGCAGCAUGCCUUUAUGGCCGGGAUUCGUCCACGUACAUGCUUAGGAUGUUGACAUAAUGGCUUUAAACGACCCGUCUUGA